UCACCUAAAAUGACCUUUCCUCAGAAAUGCUUUUGCCAAACAUACAGAUUAGGUCUGUGUCGUCCUGACUGAUGCUUUUAUAGUACCUUGGUUUUUCCUUUAUUUACAUUAUUAUUUGUUUACUACCUCUCUCACUAGGCCAUAAGCUCUGUGAAGCUGGGGACUGCCCUCUUUUGCCCACCGUUAUAUUUACAUUAUGUUAUGUGGCAACUUACCAGUAACAGGUUCAGUUUGAUCACUAUCUGUCAGCCCCAGACAACCUGUUAAUGCCACAGCUGAACUUCCUUCUAAGUGCCACAGUGAAUUUGAUUGCCUUUCAAAGGAGAUUUUGACUGAGCACUUCAUCCUUGGAAUAAACUAUUGAAUACAUUUAGGUAGCCAGAAAGUGAGGUUGUAUAGAUAAUGAAGAAAAGAAUAGAAAAUUAAAAUAUCCUUAAAGAAUUCUUCCUUCCUUGUGAUGAAUUAGAAGGGCGUUGUUCUUUUUUCAGCACCGGACUCCAACAUUUACCUUUUAAUGGUAUAAAAAUAGAGGUUUGACUACAGAAACCACAGCUGUGCUUAUUUAUAAAAUACUCUCAGUGUCUUUUCUUACUGAGUCAGAAUUGUUUAUAUGAGUAAUUUAAGAA